rnacentral:lncRNA from 1 species
CGGCCGCUCGGACGCGCGCACAGCCCCCCGCCGCCGCCGCUGCCGCCGCCGCCGCCGCCUCCGCCACCGCCGCCGCUGCGUGCGCCGAGAACAUGACUUCUGCCUUCAAGCUGGAUUUCCUCCCGGACAUGAUGGUCGAGGGCCGCCUGCUCGUUGCUGACAGAAUUAACGGCACAGCCAACAAGAUGAACGGAGCUUUGGAUCAUUCCGACCAGCCAGACCCAGAUGCCAUUAAGAUGUUUGUCGGACAGAUCCCUAGGUCCUGGUCAGAAAAGGAGCUGAAAGAACUUUUUGAGCCUUAUGGAGCUGUCUACCAGAUCAACGUCCUCCGGGACCGGAGUCAGAACCCUCCCCAGAGCAGCACAGCAGAUGCAACAGCUCAACACUGCCACUUGGGGGAACCUGACAGGACUGGGUGGACUUACCCCACAGUACCUGGCGCUUCUGCAGCAGGCCACCUCCUCCAGCAACCUGGGUGCAUUCAGUGGCAUUCAGCAAAUGGCUGGCAUGAAUGCUUUACAGUUACAGAAUCUGGCAACGCUGGCUGCAGCUGCAGCUGCCGCCCAAACCUCAGCCACCAGCACCAAUGCAAACCCUCUCUCCAGCACAAGCAGUGCCCUGGGGGCCCUCACAAGUCCCGGUGAGUGGGAAGCCUUACUCUCCAUCGCAGGGCACAUGUGCACGCAUGGCUUACGUGCCAGAGGCAGGGAGUUGGGCUGGAUUUUCCAGGACAGAGUCAGGAAAGCUGCACAAGAUCUCUGGCCUACAGUCCCUGCUCUCUCAGGAAAACCUCGAAUGGUUGUGUUUUCUUUCCCAAGGGUAAAAUGAGACAAGUUUUCAAUGAAAAAACGUAGUCACUUCACUUUUA